rnacentral:rRNA from 1 species
AACGUAGGAGACAAACGUUAUCCGGAGUUACUGGGCGUAAAGGGCGUGUAGGUGGUUUCGUAAGUCUGGCGUGAAAUUUUUCGGCUUAACCGGGAAAGGUCGUCGGAUACUGCGGAACUAGAGGACGGUAGAGGCGUGUGGAAUUCCGGGUGUAGUGGUGAAAUGCGUAGAGAUCGUAAGGAAGACCAGUGGCGAAGGCGGGUCUCUGGACAGUUCCUGACACUGAGGCACGAAGGCCAGGGGAGCAAACGGG